UGGGGCAUAUUGCACAAUGGGCGCAAGCCUGAUGCAGCCAUGCCGCGUGUAUGAAGAAGGCCUUCGGGUUGUAAAGUACUUUCAGUCGGGAGGAAGGUGGUAAGGUUAAUAACCUUAUCAAUUGACGUUACCGACAGAAGAAGCACCGGCUAACUCCGUGCCAGCAGCCGCGGUAAUACGGAGGGUGCAAGCGUUAAUCGGAAUUACUGGGCGUAAAGCGCACGCAGGCGGUUGAUUGAGUCAGAUGUGAAAUCCCCGGGCUUAACCCGGGAAUUGCAUCUGAUACUGGUCAGCUAGAGUCUUGUAGAGGGGGGUAGAAUUCCAUGUGUAGCGGUGAAAUGCGUAGAGAUGUGGAGGAAUACCGGUGGCGAAGGCGGCCCCCUGGACAAAGACUGACGCUCAGGUGCGAAAGCGUGGGGAGCAAACAGG
rnacentral:rRNA from 1 species